CGUAGAGGUUUUGAUUCUCUGUCACAGUGUUAUACAAGGACGUUGGCCUCUAUACUGGAGACACACACACACACACACACACAGGUCAAUUUAAAGACCCAUUAUCUGUGUGUGUGUGUGUGUGUAAUAGCCAUGCUAUUACAGGGUAAUGGACAGGUUGUUUAGAGGUGUGAUUGAUGUGUGUAUCUCAUGUCCUUUUUGUUCUGUGUACCUGUGUGUGUGUGUGUGUGUGUGUGUUUACCUGUGUGUGUGUGUGUGUGUGUGUGAGAAAGACCCUCAUUGGAAAUUGGGUUGAAACUGAUUCAUUGG
ensembl:lncRNA